GUCCAUGCCGUAAACGGUGGGCGCUAGGUGUAGGGGACUUCCACGUUCUCUGUGCCGUAGCUAACGCAUUAAGCGCCCCGCCUGGGGAGUACGGCCGCAAGGCUAAAAACUCAAAAGGAAUUGAACGGGGGCCCGCACAAGCGGCGGAGCAUGUGGAUUAAUUCGAUGCAACGCGAAGAACCUUACCUGGGCUUGACAUACACCGGACCGGCGUAGAGAUACGUCUUCCCUUGUGGCAGGUGUACAGGUGGUGCAUGGUUGUCGU
rnacentral:rRNA from 1 species